ensembl:rRNA 5S_rRNA 5S ribosomal RNA
AUCUAUGGCAAUCCCUGACUGAAAUGUGCCUGAUCCCAUCUGAUAUUGGAAGCCAAGCAGUUCUGGGCCUGGCUAGUACCUUAAUGGGAGGCCACCUGGGAAUCCCAGGUGCCAUAGGCA